GAAUGCUAAUACCGCAUACGUCCUACGGGAGAAAGCAGGGGAUCUUCGGACCUUGCGCUAAUAGAUGAGCCUAAGUCGGAUUAGCUAGUUGGUGGGGUAAAGGCCUACCAAGGCGACGAUCUGUAGCGGGUCUGAGAGGAUGAUCCGCCACACUGGGACUGAGACACGGCCCAGACUCCUACGGGAGGCAGCAGUGGGGAAUAUUGGACAAUGGGGGGAACCCUGAUCCAGCCAUGCCGCGUGUGUGAAGAAGGCCUUAUGGUUGUAAAGCACUUUAAGCGAGGAGGAGGCUACUGAGACUAAUACUCUUGGAUAGUGGACGUUACUCGCAGAAUAAGCACCGGCUAAUUCUGUGCCAGCAGCCGCGGUAAUACAGAGGGUGCGAGCGUUAAUCGGAUUUACUGGGCGUAAAGCGUGCGUAGGCGGCUUUUUAAGUCGGAUGUGAAAUCCCCGAGCUUAACUUGGGAAUUGCAUUCGAUACUGGGAAGCUAGAGUAUGGGAGAGGAUGGUAGAAUUCCAGGUGUAGCGGUGAAAUGCGUAGAGAUCUGGAG
rnacentral:rRNA from 1 species